CACCAGGCGCGAAAACUAUACAAUGCAGGCAACUGCGAUAGGGGAACAUCGAGUGAUACUCAUAUUGGGGGUCUGUCCCACCGUCUAAAAAACGGUGGUUAGCAAGGGCCGGGCAAGUCCGGUGCCAGCCGCCGCGGUAAUUCCAGCGGCUCGAGUGGUGGCCGAUAUUAUUGAGUCUAAAGGGUCCGUAUCCGGCUAUGCAAGUUUCUCGGGAAAUCCAGCGGAUUAACCGAUGGUUGUCCGGGGGAUACUACAUUGCUUGGGACUGGGAGAGGUAGGAGGUACUCAGGGGGUAGGAGUGAAAUCCUGUAAUCCUCUGGGGACCACCAGUGGCGAAGGCGUCUUACCAGAACAGGUCUUUCGGUGAGGGAAGAAAGCUAGGGGCACGAACCGGAUUAGAUACCCGGGUAGUCCUAGCCGUAAACGAUGCUCGCUAGGUGUCACAACAGUUUUGAACCUCUCUAAAGCCGUAGG
rnacentral:rRNA from 1 species